UAAUACGAAGGGCCCGAGCGUUAUUCGGAAUCACUGGGCUUAAAGCGUACGUAGGCUGGUAUAUAGGCGUUUUGUGAAAUCCCUCGGCUCAACCGAGGAACUGCAGAGCGAACCAUAUAUCUUGAGACAGACAGAGGUCGUCGGAACGAUUGGUGGAGUGGUGAAAUGCGUUGAUAUCAAUCGGAACGCCGAAGGAGAAGUCAGGCGACUGGGUCUGUUCUGACGCUAAGGUACGAAAGCGUGGGUAGCGAACGGGAUUAGAUACCCCGGUAGUCCACGCCGUAAACAAUGUGCACUAGGUCGAGGGCGUUCUGACGCGACUCUCGGCCGAAGCGAAAGUGUUAAGUGCACCGUCUGGGGAGUACGGUCGCAAGGCUA
rnacentral:rRNA from 1 species